AAGUCUGUUGCCUUCAGAAUGGUGGAACAACUUUGUAUUACUGGGAUCAAUCUGUCUGCUCAUCCCAGGAAUACAAAGUUGCUUCACCAUUCCAAAGUCUAUGUAAUUGACUU
rnacentral:pre_miRNA from 1 species